rnacentral:rRNA from 1 species
CCUACGGGCGGCAGCAGUGGGGAAUAUUGCACAAUGGGGGAAACCCUGAUGCAGCGACGCCGCGUGAGUGAAGAAGUAUUUCGGUAUGUAAAGCUCUAUCAGCAGGGAAGAAAAUGACGGUACCUGAUUAAGAAGCCCCGGCUAACUACGUGCCAGCAGCCGCGGUAAUACGUAGGGGGCAAGCGUUAUCCGGAUUGACUGGGUGUAAAGGGAGUGUAGACGGUGCUGCAAGUCAGAAGUGAAAGCCCGGGGGUCAACUCCGGGACUGCUUUUGAAACUGGGUAACUGGAGUGCAGGAGAGGUAGGCGGAAUGCAUGGUGUAGCGGUGAAAUGCAGAGAGAUCAGGAAGAACACCGAUGGCGAAGGCAGCUUACUAGACUAUAACUGACGUUGAGGCACGAAAGCGUGGGGAGCAAACAGGAUUAGAUACCCUAGUAGUC